CCUACGGGAGGCAGCAGGGAGGAAUAUUGGACAAUGGACGAGAGUCGGAACCAGCCAAGUAGCGUGAAGGAUGACUGCCCUAUGGGUUGUAAACUUCUUUUAUAAAGGAAUAAAACGAGGCACGUGUGCCUUUUUGCAUGUACCUUAUGAAUAAGGAUCGGCUAACUCCGUGCCAGCAGCCGCGGUAAUACGGAGGAUCCGAGCGUUAUCCGGAUGUAUUGGGUUUAAAGGGAGCGUAGAUGGGUUGUUAAGUCAGUUGUGAAAGUUUGCGGCUCAACCGUAAAAUUGCAAUUGAUACUGGCAGUCUUGAGUACAGUUGAGGUAGGCGGAAUUCGUGGUGUAGCGGUGAAAUGCUUAGAUAUCACGAAGAACCCCGAUUGCGAAGGCAGCUUACUAGACUGUGACUGACAUUGAUGCUCGAAAGUGUGGGUAUCAAACAGGAUUAGAUACCCUGGUAGUC
rnacentral:rRNA from 1 species